AGAGGUUCGAGUUACUGGCUCGAGGACGAACGCUGGCGGCGUGCCUAACACAUGCAAGUCGAGCGAGGAGAUCCUUCGGGAUGAUCCUAGCGGCGGACGGGUGAGUAACACGUGGGCAACCUGCCUCAUAGAGAGGAAUAGCCUUCCGAAAGGGAGAUUAAUACCUCAUAACAUUGCAGUUUCGCAUGGAACAGCAAUUAAAGGAGUAAUCCGCUAUGAGAUGGGCCCCGCGGCGCAUUAGCUAGUUGGUGAGGUAACGGCUCACCAAGGCGACGAUGCGUAGCCGACCUGAGAGGGUGAUCGGCCACAUUGGGACUGAGACACGGCCCAGACUCCUACGGGAGGCAGCAGUGGGGAAUAUUGCACAAUGGGGGAAACCCUGAUGCCAGCAACGCCGCGUGAGUGAUGACGGCCUUCGGGUUGUAAAGCUCUGUCUUCAGGGACGAUAAUGACGGUACCUGAGGAGGAAGCCACGGCUAACUACGUGCCAGCCGCCGC
rnacentral:rRNA from 1 species